AACGAACGCUGGCGGCAGGCUUAACACAUGCAAGUCGAACGCCCCGCAAGGGGAGUGGCGCACGGGUGAGUAACGCGUGGGAAUAUGCCCUUCGGUUCGGAAUAACACAGGGAAACUUGUGCUAAUACCGGAUACGAUCUACGGAUGAAAGAUUUAUCGCCGAGGGAGUAGCCCGCGUAGGAUUAGCUAGUUGGUGAGGUAAUGGCUCACCAAGGCGACGAUCCUUAGCUGGUCUGAGGGGAUGAUCAGCCACACUGGGACUGAGACACGGCCCAGACUCCUACGGGAGGCAGCAGUGGGGAAUAUUGGACAAUGGGCGAAAGCCUGAUCCAGCCAUGCCGCGCGAGUGAUGAAGGCCUUAGGGUUGUAAAGCUCUUUCGCCAGGGAAGAUAAUGACGGUACCUGGAAAAGAAGCCUCGGCUAACUCCGUGCCAGCAGCCGCCGUAAAAC
rnacentral:rRNA from 1 species